rnacentral:rRNA from 1 species
UACGUAGGGGGCAAGCGUUGUCCGGAUUUAUUGGGCGUAAAGAGCGUGUAGGCGGCUUUGCAAGUCCGUUGUGAAAACUCGAGGCUCAACCUCGAGACGCCGGUGGAAACUGCAAAGCUAGAGUCCGGAAGAGGAGAGUGGAAUUCCUGGUGUAGCGGUGAAAUGCGCAGAUAUCAGGAAGAACACCAGUGGCGAAGGCGGCACUCUGGGCCAGUACUGACGCUGAGGAGCGAAAGCGUGGGUAGCGAACAGG